AAGAGAACUUUAGAACAGCUGGUCAUUAUGCUGACCAGGUGUCUGCACUAAGUUCGGCAUUAAUAUGGUGACCUCCCAGGAGCGGGGGACCACCAGGUUGCCUGAGGAUGGGUGAACUGGCCCAGAUCAGAAAGGGAGCAGGUCAGAACUCCCACACCAAUGGCUAGUGGGACUGUGCCUGGGCAAUAUCCCGAGACGUUGGCUCUU
ensembl:misc_RNA Metazoa_SRP Metazoan signal recognition particle RNA